CCGUGUGCCUACAAGUAGUCAGAGCCCGUUAACGGGUGAUGGCGUGCCUUUUGUAGAAUGAACCGGCGAGUUACGAUCCCGUGCAAGGUUAAGUUUGAAAAGACGGAGCCGCAGCGAAAGCGAGUCUGAAUAGGGCGCAUGAGUACGUGGUCGUAGACCCGAAACCAGGUGAUCUACCCAUGUCCAGGGUGAAGUUCAGGUAACACUGAAUGGAGGCCCGAACCCACGCACGUUGAAAAGUGCGGGGAUGAGGUGUGGGUAGGGGUGAAAUGCCAAUCGAACCUGGAGAUAGCUGGUUCUCUCCGAAAUGGCUUUAGGGCUAGCCUCAAGGUAAGAGUCUUGGAGGUAGAGCAC
rnacentral:rRNA from 1 species